GACGAACGCUGGCGGCGCGCCUAACACAUGCAAGUCGAACGAGAGAGAGGAAGCUUGCUUCCUCAAUCGAGUGGCGAACGGGUGAGUAACGCGUGAGGAACCUGCCUCAAAGAGGGGGACAACAGUUGGAAACGACUGCUAAUACCGCAUAAGCCCACAGGUCGGCAUCGACCAGAGGGAAAAGGAGCAAUCCGCUUUGAGAUGGCCUCGCGUCCGAUUAGCUAGUUGGUGAGGUAAUGGCCCACCAAGGCAACGAUCGGUAGCCGGACUGAGAGGUUGAACGGCCACAUUGGGACUGAGACACGGCCCAGACUCCUACGGGAGGCAGCAGUGGGGAAUAUUGCACAAUGGGGGAAACCCUGAUGCAGCGACGCCGCGUGGAGGAAGAAGGUCUU
rnacentral:rRNA from 1 species